rnacentral:tRNA from 1 species
UAGCUUAGCAGUAAAGGCGCUUGUCUGGUAACCAAGAGAGCGUGGGUUCAAAUCCUAA